GGACAAAUGGACCUGCGGUAGGAGAGAGGGACAACAGUAGGAGCAGGCAGAUCUUGCUGUUUCAACCAAAACCUCAUGCUGACCAGAGUUGAGGAACAGAAGAAGAUGGUGAAGGCCUGCAGGUAUAGGUGUUCAGCAUGUCAUCUGAAAUAUUCCCCACAGAGGCAAAAAGAAAGGAAAUUAUCUCUGAAAAGGAAUGGGAGGACAAGUCAGCAGAAUAUGUCAAUGUUUUGGUUGAAGAAGCUGCUUGAAUCUGGGCUUUUCUGUGCCAUGUGUUCUCCCAGGGCCAGCACAAAGAAGGGCUUUUGGUGCAGGCCCAAGACCACCAUAAUCAUCAUUGAUUAUUCCUCUCCACGCCAGUGUCUCUAAAUAAACUUUCUCUUCUUUCUCUGA
rnacentral:lncRNA from 1 species